UACAGAGGAGCCAAGCGUUGUCCGGAAUUACUGGGCGUAAAGGGCUCGUAGGCGGCCAACUAAGUCAGACGUGAAAUCCCUCGGCUUAACCGGGGAACUGCGUCUGAUACUGGAUGGCUUGAGGUUGGGAGAGGGAUGCGGAAUUCCAGGUGUAGCGGUGAAAUGCGUAGAUAUCUGGAGGAACACCGGUGGCGAAGGCGGCAUCCUGGACCAAUUCUGACGCUGAGGAGCGAAAGCCAGGGGAGCAAACGGG
rnacentral:rRNA from 1 species